UCUUACCUUUUGUCCUGCGUUACACGCCGGGGAAAGGAAUUCUGGGAUCGUGUGUUAUGCUGAUCCAAAAUGUUUUUAAGAAAUAAAGUUGUAAAACAAUGGAUACAAGCACAUAUUUAUGUAUGUGUCUUGUCUGUAGACAUGGAGAUUCAGGGUUACAUCUCAGAGUGCUACUCGGUGUAUUUUCUGUGCACGUCCUUCCUACUUCAAUCUCGUGGUAUACCAGGGACCAUGUUUUUCCUUUCCUCACCAUACAGAAUACAAGAAAUGACGAUUCUGAAAAAGAAGCUGAUGACCAGAAUAAGGGAUAGGAAGAUGACCUGUUUGCUUGAAGAGCGAGGGUGAAGAACUACUUUUCAAAGGGUGAAACACAAGAAUGGCUUUUAGGAAUUUUCCCCCAAAGUAAUUUGUGACUGGAUCCUGUUGCCGAAACUUGGCCUCUGUUCACCGGUGCCGAAGAGAAAUGCAGAGACAGAGUUUUGGGUGAAGUAGAAAAGAGUCGCUUUUAUUGCUUUGCCAGGCAGAGGGGGCCACAGCGGGUUAAUGCCCUCAAGACUGUGUGACCCACCCUGGAGGGCGUAGUGAGGAGUCUUACAGUGUUCGAGGAGCAGGGCGUGAUCAGCUCGCAGACAGUUUUCGGACUGGCUGGCAUCAAGGUGAAGUUUCAAGCGUCAUCAACCUUCUGGUCUCAACCAGUCCAGGGUCUGUGUGCUUGUGGGCAGCACUUUCCAUCUGGAGGGGGUCUGCUCCCUGUAAAACCACUUAGGAGUGUGUGUCAGGCCUUUAUCUGUAGCUUCAGUGAACUGGGAGUUCGGUGAUUCUGCCAUGUGGCGGAUUUAUAGUCUAAAUUGUCGCCCGUUCCCCAGCCCGACAGCUGUUCUUUGUUUCUACACCUUCACAUUCCCUAAUCAUUAACUCUUGAGUCAGCACUUUACUUCGAAAGACAAGGACACGGGGCCUCGUACACGGUUUCAAUCCUGACCAGGUCUGAGAUUUACACGAUGCAUAUGCUGUUGUUUUCAUGAAUGUUAAUGUCCAUAAAAUGAAGUUCUUAAAGGCAUUAUUUGAGUUCUCCAUUGAUUACUGAUUAUAUCAUCAAUACCUUCCAGCCCUGGCAGCACAGGGAGGAAGGAAGAAUUGCUGGGAUGCUUGCAUCACCACAGGGCAAGAGGUCCUCAAAUUUUACUGCUUUAUCUUUAAGUAAUACUUCAUAGUUCGGCUGACUUUUCAUCCAUUCUGCUGAUUCUGCCAGUGAGUUCCUCUGUAGUGACAGCCAAAGGCACUUACGGAAAAUACUUAAACAACCAAGCGUAAAGGCAGAAGUCGAGGUCACUUCAUCUACUACGGAAGUGGGGCAUGUGUCUACCUCAGGCCUGAGUCUUUUGAUGGGUCUUUUGGUAAUUGGUGGCGGUGGUGAUGACAAUGUUUGAGUUGUUUUAUUUUUUAUUUUAUUUUAUUUAUUUAUUUUUUUGGCCACGCCGGCGGGGCCUGCGGGACCUUAGUUCCCCGACCACGGAUCGAACCCGUGCCCCCUGCAGUGGAAGCUCACAGUCUAAACACUGGACCGCCAGGGAAGUCCUACGCGGGCCUCUCACUGUUGUGGCUUCUCCCGUUGCGGAGCACAGGCUCCGGACGUGCAGGCUCAGCGGCCAUGGCUCGUGGGCCCAGCCGCUCCACGGCAUGUGGGAUCCUCCUGGACCGGGGCACGAACGCGCGUCCCCUGCAUCAGCAGGCAGACUCUCAACCACUGCGCCACCAGGGAAGCCCAGUAUAAUACUUUUUAUUAGUAGCUGGACAUUGUGAAUUAUACAUUGUUGGUUACUGAAUUUUGUUUUUAAAGAUUGUUGAACUUUAUUUUCCCCAGAAGUUAAGUUACUUGUGUUCAGUAUGAUUCUUUUGAGGCUUGUUUUAAAAUUCAUUCAGGGCAAGUCUAUAGGAGUCUUUGCUCGAGGGCUCACUUGGACCCACUUCUACGGCAUGGCCUUUUUGAUGUCUCUAUUGGAUGCCCUGUAUACUCAGUGAGAUUUCUCCAUUUUUCCACUCUGGCUGUAAUGAUCUCCAGCCCAGUGUGAUCUCUAGGAAUUAUUUGUCUUCUUCCUAGUCACUGUGCUUUGCCUGGAAUCUGUUCUUUCCCAGCCUCAUGGAGGUUUACCCUACCAUACAUAGAUUUAUAUUCAGCUAUUGAUUCAUGGGGCGCAUUAUGUAUAUUUCAGUAACUCUUCUCUGUGUGUCUCCCUCCUCAGUUACUCUGUGCAAAAAUCCAAGAUUUCUUGAACUGUGUUUAUUUUCUUUAACUCAGCAAUUUUCCUGCACUUUGUUGUUGUUAUUGUCGUUCCUACCCUGUGCCAUAUUCCAGAAAUUGUCUGCAAGAAGAAAGCUUAGUUGUGGUAGGAUUCACCUUGUUUGUUUUCUUUCAGGGGUCACAGUUCAGAGCUCCCUAUUGUCCAAUGUCUGAAAACGUUUUUUCCAUAUUUUGUCCAGUUUUUUUUUUUAAACGGUCACAGAUUUAUUUAUUUAUUUAUUUAUGGCUGCGUUGGAUCUUUGUUGUUGCGCGCAGGUUUUCUCUAGUUGCGGCGAGCAGGGGCCACUCUUCGUUGUGGUGCGCGGGCUUCUCAUUGCAGUGGCUUCUCUUUGUUGUGGAGCAUGGCCUCUAGGUGCACGGGCUUCAGUAGUUGUGUCACACGGGCUCAGUAGUUGUGGCUUACGGGCUCUAGAGCACAGGCUCAGUAGUUGUGGUGCACGGGCUUAGUUGCUCUGCAGCAUAUGCGGUCUUCCCAGACCAGGGAUUGAACCUGUGUCCCCUGCACUGGCAGGCGGAUUCUUAACCACUGCACCACAGGGGAAGCCCCCUUUCCUGCUAUUGUUAAUGGGAUCUUUUAUUCUCUUACUUUUUUAACUGGUAUAUAGGAAAAAACAUCAAUUUGUGUAUGUUGAUCUUAUAUUCUUCCCCUUUAUUGAACUGUCUUUUUAGUACAAAUAGUUAUUCAGUUGAUUCUUCUAGAUUUUUUAAAUUUCCACUUAUAAAAAACGUUACUGCAUGUUACUGUGACCCUUAGUAAAUGGCUUAAAAGGUAAAAUAAAUGUGUUUUCAGAGUAAGAAUGAGUCAGUAAUGCCUAACAGAAUGACAGAUAACCAUUAAAAUAUACUGGCAUAUAUGGGUCCAGGGAGGAUAAAUAGCAACUAUCUGAUUUUAUUGCACUACCAGCCAUAAAAUUGUAGGCUAUGUGGACUUUCAGUUUGACCCAAGAUGAUGAGUCUAAACUCUCAUGUUACCGAACGCACGUCCAACCGCUUGCCGCUUGAAAGCCAAUUCUCGAGAGACAAGUGUUGGUAGGAAAGGAAAGGUUGCUUUAUUUCAGAGCCCGGCAACCGGGGGAGAGGGUGGGCUCCUGUCCGAGAACCAACUCCCAACUGCUCUUCAGGGGAAGGGGCUUUUAAAGGGGAGUUUCAGGGCUGUAUAGGCAGAGGGAGGGAGCAGAACAUCACAGUCAGCUCUGACAGUCAUCUUGAAACCGGUAAUGUGGUGGUCUGAUCAGUGUCACCUUGGUUGUUUUAAGUACAGUUAAUCUUUAGUUCCAGGGUUUGUUCCCAUUUCUUUGAGGCCAGUUCUCAGAACUGUGGCAGCUUAUGUCAUGGCUUCAAUUUGGUCAUAAUGUAGUCAUCCUCCUCCCCUAUUGGGGGCUUCAGUAUCUGCAAAACAGCUCACAGAACAUGGCUCAGAAUAUUGUCUAUAGUCCUUAAGGAGGAACUAAAGGUCCUUGACUGUGCUUAAUGAUUAAACUAUUAUUAUUUUGUCUUCUUUGACUGUUUUCCUUGGUUUCUGCAUUUCCUCACUUCUCUGAUCAAACCUAUUCUUUGGCUAAAGAUUUUCCACAGACAAAAGGCAGGCUGAGGACAGGGGGUGGGGCAAGGACCAUAGGGUCUUGCUCCGUUUCACUAAUAUAUCUCAACUUAUUUAUCUGUUAAUCAUUUUAAAGUUUACACACAGCAAAUUCACUCUAUUUUUAUUUUUUGGUUUACUGCUUUAUGAGUUUUAAUAAUGCAGAGAUCCUUAUAACCACCACCACAAGCAAGAUAAAGAACAAUUCUAACACUCCUUAAUCAGUCUCUCAACCCACCCCUAAUCCCCAGAAACCAUUGAUCUGUUUGCCAUUACUACAGUUUUAUCUUUUCCUGAAUUUCAUAUAAAUGUAAAUAUACAUUAUGUUACAUUUUGAGACUGGCUUCUUCCACUUAGCAUAAUGCAUUUCAGAUUCAUCCAUGUUGUUUGUGUAUUAAUAGCUUCUUCCUUUUUACUGAUGAGUAGCACUCUAUUGUAUGUUAUUUAUCUAUUCGUUUGUUGAAGGCCAUUUGGGGUUGUUUUCAGUUUUUGACAGUUAUGAAUAGGACUGCUAUGAACCUUUAUGUACAAGUUUUUGUGUGGACAUGUGUUUUCAUUUCUCUAGACUAAAUACAUAGAAGUAGGAUUGCUGGGUCACAUAGGUACUUGUUUAACUUUAUUAGAAACUAUCAACAUGUUUUCCAGGAUGAUUAUUCCAUUUUGCAUUCUUAAAGCAAUGUAGGAGAGUUCCAGUUGCUAUAGAUCUUUACCAGCACUGGGUAUUGUCAUUAUUUUUUAUUUUAGCCAUUCUAAUAGGUGUGCAAGAGUUUCCCAUUUGGUUUUCAUUUUCAUUUCCGUAAUGACUAAUGGGUUCAUCAUGUGUUUUUUGCCAUCCAUAUAUCUCCUCUGGUGAAGUGUCUGUUGAAAUCUUUUGCCCCCUUUUUUUAAAUUGUAUUUUUUUUCAAGUUUUAAGAAUUCUUUAUAUAUUCUAGGUAAACGUUCUGUGUCAGAUGUAUGAUUAGUAAACUUUUCUCCCAGCCCAUGGCUUGUCUUUUCAGUCUCUUAAUGUCUUUUGAGGAGAAGAAGUUUUAAGUUUCAACAAAGUCUAAUUUAUACAUUUGUUCUUCUAUGGAUUAUGCUUUCAGUUUUGUAUUAAGAAAUUUUUGCCCCACCCAAAGUCAUGAAAAUUUUCUCCUAUAAUUUCUUCCAAGAGUUUUAUAGUUUUACAUCUUACACUUAGGUCUAUUGUCCAUUUUAAAUUCAUUUUCUAUGUGGUGUGAGAUACAGUUCAAGGUUCACUUUUUUUUUGCAUAUGGAUAUCUAAUUUUUCCAGGAUCAUUUGUGCAAAAGAGUGUCCUUUCUCCAUUGAAUUGCCUCUGUAUCUUCAUUAAAAUUCAAUAGACUGAAUUUAUGAAGGUCUAUUUCUGGAGUCUAUUCUGUUCCACUGAUCUAUGUGUCUAUCCUUUCACCAAUACCACCGUCUU